AUUGAACGCUGGCGGCGUGCCUAAUACAUGCAAGUCGAGCGAAGCGGCGGAUGGGUGAGUAACGCGUGGGUAACCUGCACUUAAGUCUGGGAUACCAUUUGGAAACAGAUGCUAAUACCGGAUACUAAAGGAUGGAACUGCGGUGCAUUAGCUCGUUGGUAAGGUAACGGCUUACCAAGUCGAUGAUGCAUAGCCGGGUUGAGAGGAUGAUCGGCCACAUUGGGACUGAGAAACGGCCCAAACUCCUACGGGAGGCAGCAGUAGGGAAUCUUCCACAAUGGACGAAAGUCUGAUGGAGCAAUGCCGCGUGAGUGAAGAAGGUUUUCGGAUUGUAAAGCUCUGUUGUUGGUGAAGCGGUAAUCAACCAGAAAGUCACGGCUAACUACGUGCCAGCAGCCGCGGUAAUAC
rnacentral:rRNA from 1 species